GAUGAACGCUGGCGGCGUGCCUAAUACAUGCAAGUCGAGCGAACAGAUAAGGAGCUUGCUCCUUUGACGUUAGCGGCGGACGGGUGAGUAACACGUGGGUAACCUACCUAUAAGACUGGGAUAACUUCGGGAAACCGGAGCUAAUACCGGAUAACAUUUGGAACCGCAUGGUUCUAAAGUGAAAGAUGGUUUUGCUAUCACUUAUAGAUGGACCCGCGCCGUAUUAGCUAGUUGGUAAGGUAACGGCUUACCAAGGCAACGAUACGUAGCCGACCUGAGAGGGGGGUCGGCCACACGGGAACUGAAACACGGUACAGACUCCUAGGGGGGGCAGCAGUAGGGAAUCUUCCGCAAUGGGCGAAAGCCGAACGGAGCAACGCCGGGUGGGUGAAAAAGGGUUUCGGCUCGUAAAACUCUGUUAUGAGGGAAAAAAAAACGUGUAAGUAACUGGGCACGUCUUGACGGUACCAAAGCAAAAAGCCACGGCUAACUACGU
rnacentral:rRNA from 1 species